GAUGAACGCUGGCGGCGUGCUUAACACAUGCAAGUCGAACGAAGCAAUUUUCUACGAUCCCUUCGGGGUGACGGAUUAUUGACUGAGUGGCGGACGGGUGAGUAACGCGUGGGUAACCUACCUUGUACAGGGGGACAACAGUUGGAAACGACUGCUAAUACCGCAUAAGCGCACAGCAUCGCAUGAUGCAGUGUGAAAAGUUUUUUCGGUACAAGAUGGACCCGCGUCUGAUUAGCUAGUUGGUGAGGUAACGGCCCACCAAGGCGACGAUCAGUAGCCGACCUGAGAGGGUGACCGGCCACAUUGGGACUGAGACACGGCCCAAACUCCUACGGGAGGCAGCAGUGGGGAAUAUUGCACAAUGGGCGAAAGCCUGAUGCAGCGACGCCGCGUGAGCGAAGAAGUAUUUCGGUAUGUAAAGCUCUAUCAGCAGG
rnacentral:rRNA from 1 species